rnacentral:misc_RNA from 1 species
UGGUGGAUCAUGGAUGGGACAGAUGUCUGUUCAGUUCUCUUCCGUUCAGCCAAGUGGGGUUCGAUGCAACACAUAUUACUAGAUAGAUAUUAGUGAUUCAGAAAGCUAAUUGCAAUAGUGGUCAUUAAAUUAAUAUUUUAAAAAUAUACACUAACUAAAACUGCAGUUUAAAAUAUCCUAAAAUAUACUGAUGCAAAGGAUUUGGCGAGAUUUCUCUACACAAUCGAACCAAAAACUUACGUUUCAGGGCUACACUUGGAAAAAGGAAGAACAGGGCAUGAUGGGAAGAGAAUCUGACGUGUUGGGCUAGAUCGCAUACACUGAAAUGAGAUCUUCAUCUUUACACGCGAGUUCACACGCAAACAUAAUGUAGGGGCCUACCUAGGGCUUAUGUGCAGUUAUUUGAGCAUUCCAAUUUUCCAAAGUACGGUGUGUUUGCAAAAUGGCGAGUAAUGUUAAUGAUAAUGGUUAUGAGUAUGACGCACUCCUGUGGUAUCACGAAGAUGACUCUAAAUUUGCAAAGGAGAUGUUGAGAACUCUAGAGGGAAAGAAUGUCACUGUUUAUAUUGAAGCUAGGGAUAGACAAGGAGGAAAAUAUACACUGACUGAGUAUACAGAAACUAUAAGAAAAUCUCGUUACAUCUUCCUUCUAAUUUCCGAAUCAACAAAAAGUUGUGGAACUUUCGAAUUCCAAAUGCAUCAAAGUUUGCAGAAUUCACUAAUGAACCGGCUGCAGAAUGUUAUUCCAGUUCUGAUAAAUGUUACGGAAGUACCAGAUAUUUUGAUGUCUCUGGCACCUCUAAAGUUGGAUGAAUUUUUUAAUAAGAGGCUCUUAGAUUUAUUUAGACAAAUAUAAGCCACAUAGUUGCAGGCCACACAAUUUUAUAUAUUUGUACUUAAUCUAAACAUUUUUUUUUGUAGAAACCAAACAGAUCUUGCAAUAUUUAGAAUAGAAUAUCAUUAUCCACCAUCCAAGUAUAUUAGAUAAAUAAUAAUAACUGUUUGACUAGGAACAUGUUGUAAUACAGUAAUCGUAUCAAUAUUAGAUCAAUGAAUAGUCCCUUAUUUCAUUUGUACUGUAUGAAAAAUGCGCCUCGGGCGGAAUUGGAACCUGCAACCUCUUGCAACCAAAGGCAAGUGUCAUGCCUAUUAACCACGGAUAGUGUAUACAUGCAGAUAUAACUGCCAGGCAGGCUUUCUUCCAUGAACUGACUAGGAAAGCAUAAUAAGCAAUAUUCAAAGGUUAGCUGCAUAGCAUGGUAAACACAAUACAGUACAUUAAAACAAAUGGAUAGAUACAGUAAUAAUGACAGUGCUUGAAUAGGAAAGAGAUGUUAUAACAUCUUGACUUAAUUUCACAAAUACUGUAUUUAAAAGCGACUCUAAAUCUCGGGAAGUUUUAUUCUCACUUAUUGAACUAUGAGGCCUCCCAAAGCAUCUAACUUUGAAAGACACUGAUUGGUAGAUAUAGAAAAUUACUAUUCCUAAAAUACUGUUUUUUAAUGUGGUCUUUAUGACAAAAAAUAUUAAAAUAUAAUUUGAACUCUAAUUUUAAUGAAGAUGGAUUAAUUGAUAGUGUUAAGAGAGCAUUUCAGAUACUGUAUAUCUGUUUUAUAGAAUGUAAGGAAGAGACCUUUUAUCACAACUUUUAAGAAUCAACUUAAAAAUACUGAUUACUUAAAAUGCUCUUCGACAGUUGUUAUCACAAAAAAAAAAUCUAAUAUAAUUUGAAAUCCAAUUUUAAUGAAGUUGGAUUGACUGAGAGUGUUAAGACAGUUGUAUCCGUUUUUUAGAAUGUAAGGGAAAAGACCUUUUAUCACUACUUUUAGUCUAAUUCAUACUCAUCAUGAUUGAAAUUGGUCAUUUGACUUCCAUUUGUAAUUUUAUGUGUUUUGUGAUGUAUUUGGAUUUGAUGUGUUUUAUCCCUCCAUUUCAGAGGUUUUUGGAGAAACUGAAAUAACAUUACAAUAUUGACUGUGGAAUGAACUGUUAUACAUUGGCUGUUCUGGUUAAUUCCACCUCUUACAAAUGUCUUUAAUAUUACUGUACUUUUGUACACUAUUCAUUUUCUUUAUUUUUUGAUAUGGACAAUGGAUGUCUGAAAUACAAUUUGAAUUAAAUGGAUAAAUUUUAAGUAUACAGA